rnacentral:rRNA from 1 species
UACGUAGGGUGCGAGCGUUGUCCGGAUUUAUUGGGCGUAAAGAGCUCGUAGGCGGCUUGUCGCGUCGUUCGUGAAAACCUGCAGCUCAACUGCAGGCUUGCGGUCGAUACGGGCAGGCUAGAGUUCGGUAGGGGAGACUGGAAUUCCUGGUGUAGCGGUGAAAUGCGCAGAUAUCAGGAAGAACACCCGUGGCGAAGGCGGCUCUCUGGGACGGUACUGACGCUGAGACGCGAAAGCGUGGGGAGCGAACAGG